rnacentral:rRNA from 1 species
UACGUAGGGGGCUAGCGUUGUCCGGAUUUAUUGGGCGUAAAGAGCGUGUAGGCGGCCAGGUAGGUCUGCUGUGAAAACUCGAGGCUCAACCUCGAGACGUCGGCGGAAACCAUCUGGCUAGAGUCCGGAAGAGGAGAGUGGAAUUCCUGGUGUAGCGGUGAAAUGCGCAGAUAUCAGGAAGAACACCCGUGGCGAAGGCGGCUCUCUGGGACGGUACUGACGCUGAGACGCGAAAGCUAGGGGAGCGAACUGG